CCCCAAACUGCACACGGGUGCAAACCCAAAUGGGGACACAGCAACAGCCCAGCUGGGUGCUCUCAGUCCUUCCCUUUUACUUUUACAAAUGGGCGAACCCUGGCCUUCGGAGACAAAGGAGGAGCACCCAGGGUCGGGUGCAAUAAGGUUUGGGAGCUCGUGCAGAGGACGGAGCCCGGCUCCAGGGACCGGCAGCCGGCCUGGGCCUCCCCCGGGUCCGCCCCGACGCCGCCGCACCGGGCACGCGCGGGCCGAGGGGACCGAGACCAGGUGUAGG
rnacentral:lncRNA from 1 species